AUGAUGAAGAAAAAGAUGAAAAAAUUUAUAAAAAAAUGUUACUUUUUGCCUAAAAAUUGGCCCAUUCGAGCUUCCCAUCUCCCACAUUUGUGUAAAGUAACUCCUCUAUAUUUGGAGCUUCCUCUGGGAAAACCGGUGCUUUGUCGGCGAAGAACAUGCACAAAUUCUUCCUUGGUUAGGUUACUCAUCUGUU